rnacentral:rRNA from 1 species
UACAGAGGGUGCAAGCGUUUAAUCGGAAUUACUGGGCGUAAAGCGUGCGUAGACGGUAGCGUAAGUCGGGUGUGAAAGCCCCGGGCUCAACCUGGGAAUUGCAUUCGAGACUGCUCUGCUAGGGUGCGGAAGAGGGAAGCGGAAUUUCCGGGUGUAGCGGUGAAAUGCGUAGAUAUCGGAAGGAACACCAGUGGCGAAAGCGGCUUCCUGGUCCAGCACCGACGUCAGGCACGAAAGCGUGGGGAGCAAACAGG